UACGUAGGGGGCAAGCGUUGUCCGGAUUUAUUGGGCGUAAAGAGCGUGUAGGCGGUCAGGUAGGUCCGUUGUGAAAACUCGAGGCUCAACCUCGAGACGCCGAUGGAAACCAUCUGACUAGAGUCCGGAAGAGGAGAGUGGAAUUCCUGGUGUAGCGGUGAAAUGCGCAGAUAUCAGGAGGAACACCGAUGGCGAAGGCAAUCCCCUGGGCCUGUACUGACGCUCAUGCACGAAAGCGUGGGGAGCAAACAGG
rnacentral:rRNA from 1 species